ACGCAGAAGGAGAGCACGAGCCGGAAAUGGAAAAGCCGGUACAAGCGUAUAGCAGUCAUGCAGGCAAAACCGCAUGAAAAAUGUAAAGCGUUAUGUGGAUCGAACAUUAGUAGAGAAGCGUGUGAGCCAGCUGCCAAGAAAAGCCGCUAUUGUUUCAUAAGUACCCGUACCGUAAACCGACACAGGUGGAUGAGGAGAGAAUCCUAAGGCCGGCGGGAGAAGUGUUGUUAAGGAACUCGGCAAAAUGACUCCGUAACUUCGGGAGAAGGAGUGCCACAGAGAUGUGGCCGCAGAGAAAUGGCCCAAGCAACUGUUUAGCAAAAACACAGGUCUAUGCAAAACCGAAAGGUGAGGUAUAUGGGCUGACGCCUGCCCGGUGCUGGAAGGUUAAGAGGAGAGGUUAGAGCAAUCGAAGCUUUGAAUUUAAGCCCCAGUAAACGGCGGCCGUAACAAUAACGGUCCUAAGGUAGCGAAAUUCCUUGUCGGGUAAGUUCCGACCCGCACGAAAGGCGUAAUGAUUUGGGCACUGUCUCAACAACACACCCGGUGAAAUUGAAAUACCAGUGAAGAUGCUGGUUACCUGCGCCAGGACGGAAAGACCCCAUGGAGCUUUACUCCAGUUUGAUACUGGGAUUCGGUACUGUCUGUACAGGAUAGGUGGGAGGCUAGGAAAUGGUGACGCCAGUUGCCAUGGAGCCAACCUUGGGAUACCACCCUUACAGUACUGGGUUUCUAACCUGCAGCCGUAACCCGGCUGGGGGACAAUGUCUGACGGGGAGUUUGACUGGGGCGGUCGCCUCCGAAAGAGUAUCGGAGGCGCUCAAAGGUUCCCUCAGAACGGUUGGAAACCGUUCGAAGAGUGCAAAGGCAGAAGGGAGCUUGACUGCGACACCGACGGGUGGAGCAGAUACGAAAGUAGGACUUAGUGAUCCGGUGGUAUAAAGUGGGAUUGCCAUCGCUCAACGGAUAAAAGCUACCCUGGGAUAACAGGCUUAUCACUCCCAAGAGUUCACAUCGACGGAGUGGUUUGGCACCUCGAUGUCGGCUCAUCGCAUCCUGGAGCUGUAGCAGGUUCCAAGGGUUGGGCUGUUCGCCCAUUAAAGCGGUACGCGAGCUGGGUUCAGAACGUCGUGAGACAGUUCGGUCCCUAUCCGGCGUGGGCGUAGGAUAUUUGAGAGGAGCUGUCCUUAGUACGAGAGGACCGGGAUGGACAAACCUCUGGUGUAUCUGUUGUUUUACCAAAGGCAUGGCAGAGUAGCCAAGUUUGGCAGGGAUAAACGCUGAAGGCAUCUAAGCGUGAAGCCCCCCUCAAGAUAAGAUAUCCCAUCUUCGGAGUAAGACCCCUUGAAGACUACAAGGUUGAUAGGCUUCAGGUGUAAGUGUGGUAACGCACUCAGCUGAGAAGUACUAAUAGGUCGAGGACUUAUGAA
rnacentral:rRNA from 1 species